ACGUUAAUUCACUCCCUUUCCCGUGAUUUCCCAUUUCCAGUUUGUCCCAAAGAAUAGCUCCAACAAAAACCCUACGCAGGCUCAACCACCUUCUGCUUGCAAACUGACUAGUGGCCGGUUUCUAUCGGGAAGCGCCCUGCACAGUGUACCAGCGUGGCAUUGAGCGUAGCAACGGGUUUGCUUGGUGCUUGUAAUCCCAGGACUGGGGCUAGGAUCAUUGCUUUGGUUAGUGGUCCCUGCACUGAAGGACCUGGUUUGGAUAUUGCUGAGCUAAAUAAAUCUGAACCACACUUUAAACAAAUGGUGGGUCAAAAUGAAGAAGAAACGAGAUGAGGUGUUUGGUGACGUUAAAGUGAAAGGAGAGAUAGUGAGAUAUCAUAUCCAUUACUGAGGCCUCAGUUCCCUGUGUGUGAUUGAAGGUUGUGCAUGCCACCAAGGCAAGCGUGUGACCUGCUCACUGUGGAAAUCAUUACUAUCUUGGUUAAAAUAGCAAAGGUUUGUGUGUGCAAAGUUUAGCUUCUCAAAUGAACUUGAUAAGAAGAAAAGGGGAAGGAGAGAAACAAGAGAAGCAGGGUGAAGUUUGUUGUUAAUCGACUUUGUUCUAAAUUGCAUAAAAAAAAAGCAUUGACAUGGCACAUGAUGUCAAACAUACAUGAACAAAAGAUAUGAAUAGCGUGGUCACUCAUUUGAUUUUCAUUAAGAGACAAAUAAUAAAAAUAAUGUGAACAUGAUCAACAUCAAAUGUGAUGUCAACCAUAAUACUAGCAUAAAUACUUCGUUGAAUUCAUGAUGGGGACUGUGUUACAGGUCACUCAUAAUUUGACAUGCAUUGAACCUCUGGUUAUUUUGUUUCUAUUAACAAGUCUGGUUAUUUUGUUUCUAUU